UUCUAACACUGAACACAUCUUACUAACAGCAGUCUCCCACAAAUUCUCAACGUCCAUUCUCGAAAUCAGACCCCCUCCAGUCCUCAAAAUGCGAUCUUCUACUAUAAAAAACCCAGCAAUUUGCGCAAAAAAAGUUUGAUGAGAUUCAAGAAACGGCGUCAUGGAUGAUACCUGAAAAUCUGAAGUCAAUUGAAGCUUCCUAUUCUCAAAAUAAUACUGCUUAAACCGAUCUUCAAGCCCUAAUGUCUGGUGUACAUGGUAAGCCCUAUAUAGCGGAGUCAAAUCAAACCCUAACAAUCCAGUACCAUUGCUAUGCCCAUCCUUAACAUCAUCUCCGAUACCAACAUUAAGCCCAUCGUCAUCAUCUUCCUCUUGCAAAGCAUAAACGCAAUCUCGCAAACUCAGACGACUUUGCUCUUCAGCCUGCCUCUGCUUGAUUCUCAGGUCCUCUUCUCGCUGCCUCGCCGCGGAGGCUUGACCUAUCGCCAACUGCCCCAAAUUCCGACUCACUACACGGAUCUCCACGAGCCAAUCACCAAACUCCUUGCUCACUCUAUAUGCGAUCGGAUCUCAGGAAUCUUCUUCUCCAACAUCCUCUUCAAAGUAGAAGAUGGCGUUUUAUCCAAUAACUCGCUCUCGAUCACAUCCACACACUUCAAGGCCAUGUAGAAAUUACCGCUGGUUAAAUGAUGGUUGGCUCUGGAACAAAGCUCCAUGAGCUUGAUACAUGACAUGAUUAAGGUAAGAGCUAAGUUCACAUUGCGAGAGACGGUUUGGGCCUCGAUAUAGGAGUCGAGCACCGUCAACAGAGGACCAGCGACAGACUGAAGCUUGGAAUUGGAAUCGGAAAGGGCGGAUUUCAAUAAAUCGACGUCGGAGAGCAAGGAUCGCAGGUCAUCGACGGCCAGGAUGAAGUCUUGGUAAUGAGCUUUGCAAACUUCCUCAAUUUCUGACUCUUUGGAGCGAGCGAAUUGGCGGAGAUUGUGGAGGAGUGUCUCGGGCUUACCUGAAGCGAAUGCCUUGCGGACGAAAGGGCCAAGGUCCUCGCCGUUGCAGAUGGCGGCGGAGAGUAGUAGCUGGUCUUGCUUGUCGGCGGAGUUGUCAAGGACUCCGUUGGCCGGAGCCACUUUCCGGCGGAGCUUUGUGGAGUGCAUUUUGGAGGGGAUUAUUGGAGGGAUAUGGGAGACGAUCUAGGAGACGGAUUGAGAAGCGGUUGUAUAGACACAAGAGGAUGGAAAUCGGAGAUUGGUUUGACUAAUU
rnacentral:misc_RNA from 1 species